rnacentral:rRNA from 1 species
UACGAAGGGGGCUAGCGUUGUUCGGAAUCACUGGGCGUAAAGCGUACGUAGGCGGAUCGUUAAGUCAGGGGUGAAAGCCUGGAGCUCAACUCCAGAACUGCCUUUGAUACUGGCGAUUUUGAGACCGGGAGAGGUGAGUGGAACUGCUAGUGUAGAGGUGAAAUUCGUAGAUAUUAGCAAGAACACCAGUGGCGAAGGCGGCUCACUGGCCCGGUACUGACGCUGAGGUACGAAAGCGUGGGGAGCAAACAGG